rnacentral:lncRNA from 1 species
CCCAGGCCUGGGAGGGGGCUCUUGUCAGCUUCACAUUCAGCUCUUUGUGAGAAAAGAGCAGAAUGAGCAGAAAGAGGAUUGUUGAAAGGCCUGAAUAUGGAACUGGGUCUUAGCUGAGAUCUGGAAGUGUUUGGCCGGUCUUAUCAGGACUCUCUGGAGAACAGUGAUACUAUCAGCACUGCAAAACCAGUUAAGGAGGGCAAAAACAUCCCUCAAGUCCUGGAUAAUGAAUCCACACAGACACCCAAGGCCACACAAGGAAAGGAAUAGUGACAGAAUCAGGCAUGACAAGGAGAAGCCAUUUGGUGCUGCUGUCAUCUCCAGACACAAAUCUCUGAGGACACGGUAUUGCAGACACAUGUAAUGGUUGAAGAUUACUUCGUGGUGCCCUUAAAGAGUCUGUCAGUCAAAAAAGUUUAAGGACCUACUAUGCACCAGGUACUGUAUUAAGCUCUGUAGAUACAAAUACAAAAAAGAAAGAUGGAUCCCUGCCCUCAAGGAGCUUACAAUCUAAUGGGAGAAUACAACACAUAAAAGGAAGCUGAAAAGGGGGGAGAAUAAGAAGGGAAGAUAGUCACUUCAGGGGCAUGGUGGAUAAGUCCAAAGGAGUACAGUUGGAUGAGAAAUGAACAGGAAAUAGCUAGCAGUUUCAUGCCACCAUCAACCUAGGGUUUACAGAGGUUCCUCUAUUCCCAAUCAGCCCCUCAACAAUUUACAUCCAGCACUGGUUCAUGGGCCUUCCCUGUAUUUCUUAGGCUGACGUCAGAAGUUUCAAGGAUGAGCCAAAAGAUUGCUAGGAUAACACAUAGGAUCAUAAUUUUGGAGCUAGCAAGGACCUCUGAGGUUCUUUAGUCCCUCAUUUUAUAAAUGAAGAAACUGAGAUACAAAGAGGUUGUCACUCACUUGUCCAAGGUCACACAUAUAAUAAGUAGCAAAGGUAAGAUUUGAACCCAGAUCUUUUAGCUUUAGAACCAUUGAAUUUUUCUAAUGCACCACAGUGCCAUUUAACAUGUCAUAAUACAAGUUGCUUCUUUGUUCCUUCCUUACUACUCAUCACCUCACCUCUCUUUGCCCAUACUACUGCUGUGAGUAUAGAGAAGGAUCUAAAAAAGAUGUCCCUUGCCUUGCUUAGAUACCAACAGGGUUAUCCUCUUCUCCCUACCCCUCAUUGUACAAAUGAGUCCAGUGGCAUAUAAUAGUCUAAAAUGGGAGUCCUUAACCUAGGGUCC